rfam:Schistosoma mattheei strain Denwood, Zambia genome assembly, scaffold: SMTD_contig0012611
AUCUGGCUGAUAAGUCCCAGAUAGGACGAAACAUUCGUUUUAGAU